UACAGAGGUCCCAAGCGUUGUUCGGAUUCAUUGGGCGUAAAGGGUGCGUAGGCGGCGCGGUAAGUCGGGUGUGAAAUCUCGGAGCUUAACUCCGAAACUGCAUUCGAUACUGCCGUGCUUGAGGACUGGAGAGGAGACUGGAAUUUACGGUGUAGCGGUGAAAUGCGUAGAUAUCGUAAGGAAGACCAAUGGCGAAGGCGGGUCUCUGGACAGUUCCUGACGCUGAGGCACGAAGGUCAGGGGAGCAAACGGG
rnacentral:rRNA from 1 species